rnacentral:rRNA from 1 species
UGAACGCUGGCGGCAGGCCUAACACAUGCACGUCGAGCGGAUGAAGAGAGCUUGCUCUCUGAUUCAGCGGCGGACGGGUGAGUAAUGCCUAGGAAUCUGCCUGGUAGUGGGGGACAACGUCUCGAAAGGGACGCUAAUACCGCAUACGUCCUACGGGAGAAAGCAGGGGACCUUCGGGCCUUGCGCUAUCAGAUGAGCCUAGGUCGGAUUAGCUAGUUGGUGAGGUAAUGGCUCACCAAGGCGACGAUCCGUAACUGGUCUGAGAGGAUGAUCAGUCACACUGGAACUGAGACACGGUCCAGACUCCUACGGGAGGCAGCAGUGGGAAUAUUGGACAAUGGGCGAAAGCCUGAUCCAGCCAUGCCGCGUGUGUGAAGAAGGUCUUCGGAUUGUAAAGCACUUUAAGUUGGGGGAAGGGCAUUAACCUAAUACGUUAGUGUUUUGACGUUACCGACAGAAUAAGCACCGGCUAACUC